CAAUAGCGUAUAUUAAAGUUGUUGCGGUUAAAAAGCUCGUAGUUGGAUUUCUGUUGAGGACGACCGGUCCGCACUAUGUGCGUGUAUCUGGUUCGGCCUUGGCAUCCUUCUGGGGAACGGUGCUGCGCUUGAUUGCGUGGUCCGGUAUUCAGAACUUUUACUUUGAGGAAAUUAGAGUGUUUACGGCAGGCAAUCGCCUUGAAUAUAUUAGCAUGGAAUAAUACUAUAGGACCUUGGUUCUAUUUUGUUGGUUUCUAGAACUAAGGUAAUGAUUAAUAGGGAUAAUUGGGGGCAUUCGUAUUAACACGUCAGAGGUGAAAUUCUUGGAUUGUGUUACGACGAACUACUGCGAAAGCAUUUGCCAAGGAUGUUUUCAUUGA
rnacentral:rRNA from 1 species